rnacentral:rRNA from 1 species
ACGGGUGAGUAACACGUAAAGAAUCUGCCCUGAAGCGGGGAAUAACUAUCCCAACGGAUAGCUAAUACCGCAUAAUGAUGGAGGAGGCAUCUCCUUUUCUCAAAAGGCUUCGGCCACUUCAGGAUGACUUUGCGUCCCAUUAGCUUGUUGGCGGUGUAACGGACCACCAAGGCGACGAUGGGUAUCCGGCCUGAGAGGGUGUACGGACACAUUGGGACUGAGAUACGGCCCAGACUCCUACGGGAGGCAGCAGUAGGGAAUUUUGCGCAAUGGAGGAAACUCUGACGCAGCAACGCCAUGUGUGGGAUGAAGCAUUUCGGUGUGUAAACCACUGUCAGCAGGGAAUAAAAGGCCUUUUAGGCAUUUGAAUGUACCUGCGAAGGAAGCCCCGGCUAACUUCGUGCCAGCAGCCGCGGUAAUACGAGGGGGGCAAAUGUUGUUCGGAAUCACUGGGCGUAAAGGGAGCGUAGGCGGGUUUUUAAGUUAGGUGUUUAAUACCGGGGCCCAACCCCGGACCGGCACUUAAAACUGGGAAUCUUGAAUAGUGGAGAGGUCAGUGGAAUUGGAGGUGUAGCGGUGGAAUGCGUAGA